AUUGAACGCUGGCGGCAGGCCUAACACAUGCAAGUCGAACGAGUGGCGGACGGGUGAGUAAUGUCUGGGAAACUGCCUGAUGUAGGGGGAUAACUACUGGAAACGGUAGCUAAUACCGCAUACCAUCAGAUGUGCCCAGAUGGGAUUAGCAAGUGGGUGGGGUAAAGGCUCACCAAGGCGACGAUCCCGAGCUGGGCGGAGAGGAUGACCAUCCACACUGGGACUGAGACACGGUCCAGACUCCUACGGGAGGCAGCAGUAGGGAAUAUUGCACAAUGGACGCAAGCCUGAUUCAGCCAUGCCGCGUGUAUGAAGAAGGCCUUCGGGUUGUAAAGUACUUUCAGCGGGGAGGCGUUACCCGAAGAAGAAGCCCCGGCUAACUCCGUGCCAGCAGCCGCGGUAAUUC
rnacentral:rRNA from 1 species